AUUGAACGCUGGCGGCAUGCUUUACACAUGCAAGUCGAACGGUAACAGGCCGCAAGGUGCUGACGAGUGGCGAACGGGUGAGUAAUGCAUCGGAACGUGCCCAGUCGUGGGGGAUAACUACUCGAAAGAGUAGCUAAUACCGCAUACGAUCUAUGGAUGAAAGCGGGGGACCGUAAGGCCUCGCGCGAUUGGAGCGGCCGAUGUCAGAUUAGGUAGUUGGUGGGGUAAAGGCUCACCAAGCCAACGAUCUGUAGCUGGUCUGAGAGGACGACCAGCCACACUGGGACUGAGACACGGCCCAGACUCCUACGGGAGGCAGCAGUGGGGUAUUUUGGACAAUGGGCGCAAGCCUGAUCCAGCAAUGCCGCGUGCAGGAAGAAGGCCUUCGGGUUGUAAACUGCUUUUGUACGGAACGAAACGGCUCUGGUUAAUACCCGGGGCUAAUGACGGUACCGUAAGAAUAAGCACCGGCUAACUACGUG
rnacentral:rRNA from 1 species